AGGUUAACCGUAUAGGGGAGCCGGAGGGAAACCGAGUCUUAAUUGGGCGUUAAGUUGCAGGGUAUAGACCCGAAACCCGGUGAUCUAGCCAUGGGCAGGUUGAAGGUUGGGUAACACUAACUGGAGGACCGAACCGACUAAUGUUGAAAAAUUAGCGGAUGACCUGUGGCUGGGGGUGAAAGGCCAAUCAAACCGGGAGAUAGCUGGUUCUCCCCGAAAGCUAUUUAGGUAGCGCCUCGUGAAUUCAUCUCCGGGGGUAGAGCACUGUUUCGGCUAGGGGGCCAUCCCGGCUUACCAACCCGAUGCAAACUGCGAAUACCGGAGAAUGUUAUCACGGGAGACACACGGCGGGUGCUAACGUCCGUCGUGAAGAGGGAAACAACCCAGACCGCCAGCUAAGGUCCCAAAGUCAUGGUUAAGUGGGAAACGAUGUGGGAAGGCCCAGACAGCCAGGAUGUUGGCUUAGAAGCAGCCAUCAUUUAAAGAAAGCGUAAUAGCUCACUGGUCGAGUCGGCCUGCGCGGAAGAUGUAACGGGGCUAAACCAUGCACCGAAGCUGCGGCAGCGACGCUUAUGCGUUGUUGGGUAGGGGAGCG
rnacentral:rRNA from 1 species